rnacentral:rRNA from 1 species
GGAUGCGAUCAUACCAGCACUAAAGCACCGGAUCCCAUCAGAACUCCGAAGUUAAGAGUGCUUGGGCGAGAGUACUACUAGGAUGGGUGACCUACUGGGAAGUCCUCGUGUUGCAUUCC